rnacentral:rRNA from 1 species
UCGCGAAAACUUCACAAUGGGGGCAACCCCGAUGAGGGAAUUCCUAGUGCUAGCACAUUUGUGUUAGCUUUUCUUUAGCUUAGAAAACUAGAGGAAUAAGGGCUAGGUAAGACGGGUGCCAGCCGCCGCGGUAAUACCUGCAGCCCAAGUGGUGGUCGAUUUUAUUGAGUCUAAAACGUUCGUAGCCGGUUCGGUAAAUCUUUGGGUAAAUCGGGGGGCUUAACCUUCCGACUUCCGAGGAGACUGCCGAACUUGGGACCGGGAGAGGCUAGAGGUACUUCUGGGGUAGGGGUAAAAUCCUGUAAUCCUAGAAGGACCACCGGUGGCGAAGGCGUCUAGCUAGAACGGAUCCGACGGUGAGGGACGAAGCCCUGGGUCGCAAACGGGAUUAGAUACCCCGGUAGUCCAGGGUGUAAACGCUGCAGACUUGGUGUUGGAGGCCCUUUGGGGGCAUUCAGUGCCGGAGAGAAGUUGUUAAGUCUGCUACUUGGGGAGUACGUCCGCAAGGAUGAAACUUAAAGGAAUUGGCGGGGGAGCACCGCAACGGGAGGAGCGUGCGGUUUAAUUGGAUUCAACACCGUAAAACUCACCAGGGAAGACUGUUACAUGAAGGCCGGGCUAAAGACUCUGCCAGAUUUUCA